AUGUUUGUCAGUGGACUGGAAGUGGGGGGGGGGCAGGAAGUGGGUGGACCUUAGCAACUCUCACGCUCACUUCCUCUCUGAACUGCAGCACUUGGCGGUACAGGACUCGGACUUUGGAAGAUGGCACUGUGCACACCGGACCAGACCGAGGGCCCGGUCAGGGCCACACCUGCGGACCUGAGGCUGACCCGGAGUCUGUCCAAGUCCGACUCAGACUUGUUGGCGCCGCAGAGCGGGGAGGACGACGGAGGCCGCGCGGGUCGGAGCGGGUCCGAGUCCAAGCGUAGGUCCAACAGGAUGCCGUCCUUCGCCUCGGAAUGGGAUGAGAUUGAGAAGAUCAUGAACCUGAUCGGCGAGGGCAUCGAGAGGAGCGAGGAGACGCCAAGGAGCUCAGAUGGGGCCUGCGGCAAAGCCCUGGACCAGCCGGUGGGCGAGUGGCUGGAGCACGCGGGGCUGCCGCAGUACGAGGGCAAGUUCCUGCUCAACGGCUUCGACGACCUGCGCUUCAUGGGAAGUAACGUGAUGGAGGACCAGGAUCUCAGAGACAUUGGGAUCACAGACCCAGGGCACAGGAAGAAAAUCCUCCAUGCGGCACGUAACCUGCCCAAGGUCAAAGCUCUGGGCUGUGACGGCAGCACCUCUUUAGCCUCGUGGCUGGAUGGUCUGGGUCUGCAGGAGUACCUGCCCAACUUCCUGUCCAGUGGCUACCGCACCCUGGAGUGUGUGAAGAACCUGUGGGAGUUGGAGAUCAUCAAUGUGAUCAGGGUGGGGCCACUGGGCCACAGGAAGAGGAUCAUCGCCUCUCUGGCUGAGAGACCGUACGAGGAGGCUCCGUCUAAGUCCCGUCGUCUGUCUCCCAUCAUGUUCCAUGACCUCCUGUCCCAGACCACGUGCCCCCUGGGCCAGAUGGACCCCUACACCAGUCGCUCCAUGGACAUGCUCCUGCCCCUGGCGGAGGCCGACCGGAGGCGGCGAGGAGGGGACCAAGACUGUAGCGUUUCUCUGCGUUCCUACUGUGAGAGGCCGCGCUCUGUGGACCGUCAGAGUGAACGGCACAAAGAAUCUCGUCUCAACCUGCGGCCGCCCAGCCAAUCUGCUACCUACGCCACCGUGUCCGCCUGGCACCACCAGCCUGAGAAACUCAUCCUGGACGCCUGCGGGUACGAGGCCACUUACUUAGGUUCAAUGAUCAUCAGGGAUCUACGAGGGAUCGAGUCCACACAAGACGCCUGCGCCAAAAUUAGGAAAUCCAAGGACUCCAGAAAAGGUCCAGUUGUUAUCCUCUCCAUCACCUACAGGGGGGUCAAGUUCAUCGACGCCGCAACCAAGACCAUAGUGGCGGAGCACCAGAUCCGCAACAUCUCCUGCGCCGCCCAGGACCCGGACGACCUCUGCACGUUCGCCUACAUCACCAAGGACCUGAAGAGCGGCCACCAUUUUUGUCACGUCUUCAGCACGGUGGAGGUGACGCAGACGUACGAGAUCAUCCUGACACUGGGCCAGGCCUUCGAGGUGGCCUACCAGAUGACGGUCCAGGCCAGGGCGCGACACUACGUCCCACAAUCGUCUUUGGGCCCGGAGGUCCUCCAGACCAAAAUCAGCCGGCCGGUGUCGCAGUCGUGGAGCAGCAUGAGGAGAUCCGCAGGUGCCCCCGCGCUCGAGUGCCGCUGCUGUCACUGUCACUCGUGCACCACCCACCGUCCUUCCUUCCUCCCGUUGCACUCGGUUAGCCCCGGAGUUCAGAUGGACCCCCUGGAGACGGACGCAGACAUGCACUCCCUGGGCAGCACCUCCUGGCUCUUGGACCAGCGGGACUCCAGCCGGCGGCCCGUCAGCACCAAGUACGAGACCACCAUAUUCUGAGGGCCCGCCCCCCUAUCGCCCCCUCCCCUAAGCCCCGCCCCCCCCCCUGUCCCCUCCCCUGCAUUGUCCUCGCACACAAACGCAGUUGGAGCCCCGUGCCUUCUGACUGUGACGGCGUCGCCACCCUCAGGGCUGCCCCUCCCCCUUUGCACUCUUCCUCCUUUUGCCCAUGCCAAGGACUCCCUUGACUCCGCCUCCUCGCCAUUCGGCGCCUUGGAAGAUCCACAGAAGCGAGCUAUCUGCCAACCAAACUGCCUCUCCCCCCCCACCCCCCUCCCUCCCCCCCAUGACAACAUGCAUCCGCCUCCCUGACGGCACCCGGAGCCUAUCCUGUCUUACCAGGCAUCUACCACUGUGAGGCGCUGUGAGGAGGCCGCGCGACUUAGCCCGGGAUGCCAAAAAGACAAAUCGAUGAAAACAAAAAGUAGCAGUUUGUUGUUUUUGUUGUUUUGUCCCUUCUUCUAUGCAUUUGUUCUGUGCUCACCAACACUCUUUGCUGCACUUUGAUGUUCCCUCCAUGGCGAUGAUUCUCCCUCUGGACGCCUGCCGGGUCAAGACUUGUAGCACAGGGCCGUCAAACUCGUGUCGCAGUAAAUUUAAACAUUUAUUGAAAAUAUGCAUGUGGGUAAUUACAGGGUUUGUGCGGGUCAUUAAAAGGAUUUUUUUUGCAAAAA